rnacentral:rRNA from 1 species
GACGAACGCUGGCGGCGUGCCUAAUACAUGCAAGUCGAGCGAAGUUUUUCUGGUGCUUGCACUAGAAAAACUUAGCGGCGAACGGGUGAGUAACACGUAAAGAACCUGCCUCAUAGACUGGGACAACUAUUGGAAACGAUAGCUAAUACCGGAUAACAGCAUUAACUGCAUGGUUGAUGUUUAAAAGUUGGUUUUGCUAACACUAUGAGAUGGCUUUGCGGUGCAUUAGCUAGUUGGUGGGGUAAAGGCCUACCAAGGCGACGAUGCAUAGCCGACCUGAGAGGGUGAUCGGCCACACUGGGACUGAGACACGGCCCAGACUCCUACGGGAGGCAGCAGUAGGGAAUCUUCGGCAAUGGACGGAAGUCUGACCGAGCAACGCCGCGUGAGUGAAGAAGGUUUUCGGAUCGUAAAGCUCUGUUGUAAGAGAAGAACGAGUGUGAGAGUGGAAAGUUCACACUGUGACGGUAUCUUACCAGAAAGGGACGGCUAACUACGUGCCAGCAGCCGCGGUAAUACGUAGGUCCCGAGCGUUGUCCGGAUUUAUUGGGCGUAAAGCGAGCGCAGGCGGUUAGAUAAGUCUGAAGUUAAAGGCUGUGGCUUAACCAUAGUACGCUUUGGAAACUGUUUAACUUGAGUGCAAGAGGGGAGAGUGGAAUUCCAUGUGUAGCGGUGAAAUGCGUAGAUAUAUGGAGGAACACCGGUGGCGAAAGCGGCUCUCUGGCUUGUAACUGACGCUGAGGCUCGAAAGCGUGGGGAGCAAACAGG